ACGGCCGUACCAUGCUGAAUAUACCGGUUCUCGUUAGAUCACCGAAGUCGUCAAGCAUCAUUGGGCGCGGUCAGUACUUGGGUGGGUGACCACCUGGGAACACCGCGUGCCGUU